ACUGAUAGCCGCUCACUGAGGAGUCCCACCUGACCCUGGUGAGGGUAGAUAGAAGCUGUGAUUCAGUGUUGUUUUUGCUCUGCAUGGUUACCAGAGAGACAGUGACCUUCAAUCUCUCACUUCACCUUUUGUGGGUCUAUGAUUCUUAUUAAGAGGGCAGAUGGCAUUUUUCAUAAUAAAUUUCUGGGGUUGUCUUGGAUCACUGAAUUACUGAGAAUAACUAUGUCAUUCACGAUUGUUUGUCAUCACUGUGUACAAAGACCUGGUUCUACUCACUGCACUCUGCUUCAGUUAAUAUUUCAUCUACUUUUAGAUGUGACAUCUCAAUCAACUACUAUGUUGUCCCAAUUCAAUUAGAUGACUACAGGCUACAGUGAAAGGAUUUGAAAUUUGUAUUCAAGAAAAAUGAAUUCCACUUAUACCUUGCCAUUUACUGCCUAUGUGACUUAGACUAGAUCAUUUGACCUUUAGGAGCUUUGGUUUCUUCAUGGAGUUGCUAUGAAGGUGAGAAUUAAUACAUGAGUGAAUGAAAAAGUAUUUAUUAAGCAGCUCCCAUAUACCAAGCACUGUGCUACUAAGCAUUAAAGAUACAUAAACAAAUGUGAAGAUUGUUCCUGCCCUCAUUCUAAUAGGAGGAGGCAACACAAAUAGGGGGAAUGGUCACCACAAGGGGAUAUUUUUACUUAGAAAGUUAUAAGGAGGUAAGUGCAGCCAUAGGAGAGUCGAUUGAUACACCCUUUCAGUAGCAGUGGUAGUGCUGAUUUGAUUACAGUUCCAGGAUGGAAAUGACAAACGGGCAAGCGAUGGUGGAAGAGUAAAGUGAACCAUGACUAGAGCAAGCAUUCUGGUGUAGAGGGCCACAUGGGAGGCACUCAUUGAUAAAGACCUCAUGAGAACCAAGGCAGGAGUUCUGGAGCUGAAAGGAUUAAGGCUUUCAGAGCAUGUUUUCUGGAUCAGGUGCCAACAUGGCUGAUGGAAAGGUGGUGGUAAAGAUGAAAUAAGAGAAUCUAUGUGAAAGGGCAUGGAAAACUGUAAAGUGCCAAAUAAAUAUAAAAAUAUAUUCUAAUUUUUCUGUUUUCUUGAGCAUAGCUGUAACUUGAAAUCUAGCACCAGGGUCAAAUUUAGUUGAGCAGAGAGGACAUGGAGAUCUUGAAGCCACUUUGAGUGAGGUACUGGCAUUACCAACCAAGCAGCUGAUCAACCAAUAAGGGUUUAAGUACUUACAAUCUACUAGACACUGUGCUAGAUGCUGUGGGAUAAGAAGGUAAAAAUGAAAUAGUCCUUUCCCUCCAAAAGCUUACAUUCUAGUGGGAGAGAUAACAUAUGCACAAAUAUGUAUAUACAAAAUGUGUACAAAAUAAAAGCAAGAUAACUUUUUUGGGCGAGGCUGAGUAUUAGCUAUUAGAGAAACCAGGAAAGGUUUCAUAUAGAAGACAUCAUUUGAAUUGAGUUUUGAAGGAAACAAAAAAUUCUAAAAAGAUGGAGAUAAGGAGAGAGAUCAUUUCAGGCAGUGCAAAGACAAAGAUGGGAGUGUUGUGUGCAAGGAACAACAAGAAGGUCAUUUUCACCUUAUGACUGAUUGUGGGUGUCAUGAGUAGAAUGGAUCCCCAUGUCUAUUUUUCCUGGUUUUGUUCAGUAGAACGGGCAUGGUGAUGGAGAGAACAUCAGUUCUAGGAUAGAGUCAUGAUUGUUGAAAAACAAUGCAGAGUGAUAGCUACAGUAGGUAAUGCAGGGCUGAUAGAGGACAGCAAAGAUAGGACAAAACCUGUAGCACAAUGGUAGGAAUUAAAGUAUGGAUUAUUCUUUGCACUUCCAUUUCCAGUACCUAGCACAGUGCUUAUUGAUUAUGCAUCAAUAAAAGCUUAUAGAUUGAUUGGUCAAUUUGGGUCUAAUGUCAGGAAAAACUCUAACAAUUAGAACUGUACAAAAGUGGCUUGGGCUGCCUUGGGAGGUGACUGGUACCCUCUCAUUAAAGGAUUACUGAUUGGGUAUAUUAUAGUGGGAAUUCUUUUUCAGGUAGGGUUUAUAUUACAUGGCCAGAGGUUCCUUUUAACUCAAAUUCUGUGAAAGAAAGAGACAUUGCAGAGAGGAAGCAUCCUCUUUGAUACAGAUAUGGGCACUUUGUGCUGGUUAAAAUUCUUCCAAUGAGCAUCUAGAUAUCUGUAGUUUAUAUCUUGCUCUCUUUCAUCAUUAAGGUUUAUUUCCUUUUCUGACUUCCUUUGUGCUUUCCCCACCUCUUUUGUUGAAAAACAAAUGCCCAAAAUCCAAAUCUCUUAAGAGGAUAAGUAAAAAGUGAAGACAAAUGAGAAAUAUAGGUAAGACUGAAGAAGUCAAGAGAAUGAACAAACCCUAAAUACCAUAAGAUCUGGUUAAAUGAAAUAUAAAACUUAUUACUUCAAGCAUGAAAUUACAUUUUUGUUUGUUUUCCUGAAUGUUUCCAACUACAAAAUGAGAGUUUGUGUUCACAAGUCAUAACAUCACUUCCAAAUAAAUGUUUGUAAAUAGCCUACCAGUCACUGAAUCCAAACAAAGUUUCUAUUGUAUUUACCUAAGAGGGAACUUCAGUGUUCCUCACUCAUAAGAGACACUGGCUAAGGGCCACAUUGCUGACUGGUGAGACUGAUGUCUAGAACUUACACUUUCAGGCCUGUGGUAUAGUCCACCAGACCACAUUGCUCCAAUAGCUUUUCUGAAAGAGAACUCUGUUACUUGAAUAGUUUAUUCUGCUCUUCCCUUUGUCUCAUAUUUUGUACUCAAAGAACUCUAUGAGAUUCUUCAUGAGGCCCACCUACUUAAAGACCAUUCAUUUUUGUAAAGGAGUCUAUCCUAACUACAGGGAGCUGGGCAAAGGCACAGAUGGCAAACAUUAAAUUUCUCAAGGACUUAAGGCUGAAAGAGAUAGCUAACAUAUUCCAAGGAGAGUCAAAAUCCAACAAAGUUUUCAAUAGUGUAGGAUGUUUGACUGAAUCUACUUACACUUACUAGGAAUAAAUGUGAAAUUCUACUCCUGAGUACAAAAAAUCAAUUUCACAAGUACAAACUAGAGGAGCAUGUUUAGGCACAAUUGGACGUGGUGCUUUUAGUCAGCUGUAAGGUCAAUAUGACUCAACAGUGUGAUAUGAAAGCCAACACAAACAACUCUAGGAUACAUUCAGGGAGGAAGAGCCACAUCUGAAAUACUGUGUUCAGCUUGGGGUGGCAUCAUCUUUUAUGAAGGUUAUUGAGUUGGUGGAAUACAUACUUUGUUGGGGUAAGGCCUUGAAAUACACUGUAUGAAGAUCAGUUGAAGGAACUGGAGAUGUUCAUGGAAGAAGAAUGAAUAGUGUUUUACUUGGCUCCAGAGGGUAGAAGUUGGAGAGAUGUGGAUUUUAGCUUGAUGUAAGGAAAACCACCUAAAAGAGUUUUCUAAAAGUAGAACAGGCUUCCUCCAAAGGUAAUGGGUUCUGUUACUUCAGGACACCAGGUGGGGGUUGGAUAAUGAUGUUUUAGAGAUGAUAUAAAGAAGAUUCUGCUAUAAGUAUAGAUUGAAUUAGAACUGAGCUCCCUUCUGAUAUUGCAAUUCUAUGUGAAUUUGUGAUCGUGACUUGUAUUGGUUACUAAACUUAACUUGUUCAUCACUUAUGUUUACCUCACUGGCUUUCCUAGGAUCAAGCUCCAUCCAAGAGCAGAAAAUCAGUGUUGAUAUGUCUUGAAAACCCUGUAAGCAUGGGCAUUGUCUUUGCAUACUUUGCCUACGGUUUGUGGAAUCUGCCUAUUCUAAUAACAGAGUGAUUAUAGGAUGAUGUCAGGUUCAAUAAGUCAAAUGCUCAGUGUUCAAAAGAGUACAUUCUACUUCUCAUUCGCUGUUCACCUUUUCACUCUCCCCAAAAAAGUUACUUUGCUCUGGGGCCUAGACUUGCUCAUCAAUCAGAUAAAGACAUUAUAAAUUUGUCUUAUAGCUAUUGAGAGGAAGAAUUAAUACUGAAAUAGGAAAAGUAUGUCUGUAGGCAGAGUAAUAAGAUUGAACUUGAGUCGGCUGUCUUGUAAAGAUAUAACUGUGACAUUCAACUCCAAAAAAAUCCAUUUUUACAUAAUACUCCUCAGAAAGCCAGGUUUGUUAAAUAGAACUGACUGGUAAAGAAUAUUUGAACGAUAAUAUUUGCUUCUUUAUUGGCUCAAACAUCCAGUCACUUGUAAAUUGUUGCCAUUUUGUCCUUCAUAAUAUCUCUCACAUUUUUUUUUUGCCCCAUUACAAUGGCCACAAAGCCCUUAUCUCUUCACACCUGAACUAUUUAAUGGUCUUCUAUCUCAUAUCCCUGCCUUGAGGCAAUGUCCCUCUAAUCUAAGGGUUCUGAAUAUUUUCAGUGCUUUGGACUCAUUGGGCAGUCCGGUAAAACCUAUGGACCCCUUCUCAGAAUAAUAUCUUUAAAUCACACAAUAAAAUACAUAGGAUUAUAAAGUAAACCAAUUAUAAUGAAAUACAGUUAAAAAUAUUUUUUAAAAGAUUGCAUGGCCCUUUGAUCCAGUCAUAGCACUGCUGGGUUUAUGCCCCAAAGAAAUAAUAAGGAAAAAGACUUGUACAAGAUUAUUGAUAGAUGCUUUCUUUGUGGUGACAUAAUUGGAAAAUGAGGGGAUGCCCCUCAAUUGGGGAAUGGCUGAACAAAUUGUGGUAUCUGUUGGUGAUGGAAUACUAUUGUGCCCAAAGGAAUAAUAAACUGGAGGAAUUCCAUGUGAACUGGAACAAAUUCCAGGAAUUGAUACAGAAUGAAAGGAGCAGAAUCAAGAGAACAUUGUACACAGACUGAUAACACUGUCGCACAAUCAAAUGUAAUGGACUUCUCUACUAGCAGCAAUGCAAUGAUCCAGGACAAUUUGGAGGGACUUAUGAGAAAGAACACUAUCAACAUCCAGAGAAAGAACUGUGGGAGUAGAAACAUAGAAUAAAAACAACUGCUUGAUCACACGGGUCAAUGAGGAUAUGAUUGGGGAUAUAGACUCUAAAUUCUCACCCUAGUGCAAAUAUCAAUAAUAUGGAAAUAGGUUUUGAUCAAUGACACAUGUAAAACCCAGUGGAAUUGCUCUUUGGCU